GAUGAACGCUGGCGGCGUGCCUAAUACAUGCAAGUAGAACGCUGAAGGAAGGAGCUUGCUCUUUCCGGAUGAGUUGCGAACGGGUGAGUAACGCGUAGGUAACCUGCCUGGUAGCGGGGGAUAACUAUUGGAAACGAUAGCUAAUACCGCAUAACAGUAGAUGUUGCAUGAUAUCUACUUAAAAGGUGCAAUUGCACCACUACCAGAUGGACCUGCGUUGUAUUAGCUAGUUGGUGAGGUAACGGCUCACCAAGGCGACGAUACAUAGCCGACCUGAGAGGGUGAUCGGCCACACUUGGACUGGGGCCCGGCCCAGACUCCUACGGGAGGCAGCAGUAGGGAAUCUUCGGCAAUGGACGGAAGUCUGACCGAGCAACGCCGCGUGAGUGAAGAAGGUUUUCGGAUCGUAAAGCUCUGUUGUAAGAGAAGAACGAGUGUGAGAGUGGAAAGUUCACACUGUGACGGUAUCUUACCAGAAAGGGACGGCUAACUACGUG
rnacentral:rRNA from 1 species